ACGGGAGGCAGCAGUGGGGAAUAUUGCACAAUGGGGGAAACCCUGAUGCAGCGACGCCGCGUGGAGGAAGAAGGUCUUCGGAUUGUAAACUCCUGUUGUUGGGGAAGAUAAUGACGGUACCCAACAAGGAAGUGACGGCUAACUACGUGCCAGCAGCCGCGGUAAAACGUAGGUCACAAGCGUUGUCCGGAAUUACUGGGUGUAAAGGGAGCGCAGGCGGGAAGACAAGUUGGAAGUGAAAUCUAUGGGCUCAACCCAUAAACUGCUUUCAAAACUGUUUUUCUUGAGUAGUGCAGAGGUAGGCGGAAUUCCCGGUGUAGCGGUGGAAUGCGUAGAUAUCGGGAGGAACACCAGUGGCGAAGGCGGCCUACUGGGCACCAACUGACGCUGAGGCUCGAAAGUGUGGGUAGCAAACAGGAUUAGAUACCCUGGUAGUCCACACCGUAAACGAUGAUUACUAGGUGUUGGAGGAUUGACCCCUUCAGUGCC
rnacentral:rRNA from 1 species